rnacentral:rRNA from 1 species
UGGGGAAUAUUGGACAAUGGGCGAAAGCCUGAUCCAGCCAUGCCGCGUGUGUGAAGAAGGUCUUCGGAUUGUAAAGCACUUUAAGUUGGGAGGAAGGGCAUUAACCUAAUACGUUAGUGUUUUGACGUUACCGACAGAAUAAGCACCGGCUAACUCUGUGCCAGCAGCCGCGGUAAUACAGAGGGUGCAAGCGUUAAUCGGAAUUACUGGGCGUAAAGCGCGCGUAGGUGGUUUGUUAAGUUGGAUGUGACAUCCCCGGGCUGAACCUGGGGACUGCAUUCAAAACUGACUGACUAGAGUAUGGUAGAGGGUGGUGGAAUUUCCUAUGUAGCUGUGAAAUGCGUAGAUAUAGGAAGGAACACAAGUGGCGAAGGCGACCACCUGGACUAAUACUGACACUGAGGUGCGAAAGCGUGGGGAGCAAACA